rnacentral:rRNA from 1 species
GACAGAGGAGCCAAGAGUUGUCCGGACUGACUGGGCGUAAAGCGCCCGCAGGCGGCCGUGCACGUGGGGUGUGAAAGCUCGCGGCUUAACUGCGAGAGGCCAUCCCAUACGGCGCGGCUCGAGCCGUCCAGAGGCCGGUGGAAUUUCCGGUGUAGCGGUGAAAUGCGUAGAUAUCGGAAGGAACACCAGUGGCGAAAGCGGCUUCCUGGUCCAGCACCGACGUUCAGGCACGAAAGCGUGGGGAGCAAACAGG